UUACCCACAAGUCGCGCUAGAGCGGAGCGUGGUGGGAGUGCAGAGACGGAGGCAGCGAUGUGGAGCGAUUCGCGGCCGAGCUGAGGACGGAAGCCUUGAAAAAACGGUUUUGCUGUCAGCUGCACCAGCGAGAUAGUGAAAGCUACCCGCAGGAAUUAGUGGAAGGAGGAGGCCUCUGGUUAACAAAACCACAAAGGCAUCCCAGAGAAAAGGUACCUCUCGCUUCCACCUGAAACCUGGAUUUUUAAUUGCAUGUCAUUUCUAUGGGCCGAAGAGAACUCGAGACGGAGCGGGAGGAGAAGGGAAAGCGCAGGCGCAUUGCCUGGCAUGACGACCACUUCCGGGUUGGGAGGUCUGGGUUUGGUGGCCGGGCGACAACUGCGGGCGCCCCCCUCCUCUACGUGACGGCUUUCGUUUUAUUCCUUAUAUUUCUUUCUAUUUAUUAUUGUGUUUAAUGCAUUAUUUUCAUUCGAUUUUUACACAUUGACUCGUGCAAUAAAAAUAAUAUACGUAGUA